rnacentral:rRNA from 1 species
UACGGGGGGGGGCAAGCGUUGUUCGGAAUUACUGGGCGUAAAGGGCGCGUAGGCGGCCUGCUAAGUCACACGUGAAAUCCCUCGGCUCAACCGGGGAACUGCGUGUGAUACUGGCGGGCUUGAAUUCGGGAGAGGGAUGUGGAAUUCCAGGUGUAGCGGUGAAAUUCGUAGAUAUUCGGAAGAACACCAGUGGCGAAGGCGGCUCACUGGCCCGAUACUGACGCUGAGGCACGAAAGCGUGGGGAGCAAACAGG